GAGGUUGGGAGAGGGAUGCGGAAUUCCAGGUGUAGCGGUGAAAUGCGUAGAUAUCUGGAGGAACACCGGUGGCGAAGGCGGCAUCCUGGACCGGCAUUGACGCUGAGGCGCGAAAGCCAGGGGAGCAAACGGGAUUAGAUACCCCGGUAGUCCUGGCCCUAAACGAUGAAUGCUUGGUGUGGCGGGUAUCGAUCCCUGCCGUGCCGAAGCUAACGCAUUAAGCAUUCCGCCUGGGGAGUACGGUCGCAAGGCUGAAACUCAAAUGAAUUGACGG
rnacentral:rRNA from 1 species